UACACACACCUUACCCAGUGUCUUGGGGAAAUCCAGCUUUUCGGAAGGUGUGGCGGCAGGAAUAGCCUUUAGUAUUAUAUUGCUAGUGGUACUUUUUCUGGUGCUUUUAUCCCUGCUCUGGCAGUACGUCGAAAACGACCGGAAGAAGGUUGAUAACGGCUGUAUUGGAUCAACUCGUCAAAGGAAGCGGAAAUUGUCGGAUAUUCCAGAAGAUGCGCAGAGUCAAAACGCGGACUUACAUCGAGCAUCUGCGACUUACAUCGAAACGAGAAAUAGGCGUACCAAGUCCCAAUUGGCUGGGCUUCGAUGUAAGUCGCUUUUUGCUCGAUGUCUGUCGUUAGGCGUCGACGAAAACCGUUACCAACAUGGGCGUACCUUGUAACGGGUCUAAGCGACGCCCAGGAGAUCGGUGGAUCUAGUCUGCAUACCGAGUCAAACAAUUCGGAAACUUGCAACAUAACCAGACCCGGUCAGGCAGACGAUGGACGCACGAGGGAAGCAUUUGGCGGUUCUAAUGGUAACCAGUGUCAUAACGGGAUGCCUUAGCAUCACGCUGUUUACCUAAAUCACCGAUACACGCCUGCCGAACGGUUAUUUACUGCCAUCCGCAGUUUGUCUCUGCAAAUUUUCUCGCUAUUUAAGAGAAAUUGUCUCGUAGCUCUUGGUUUUAACCAACAUUGUGCAUCGCUUUCUUAUUUUAAUCCAACCAACUAACAUCCAAUUUUGGACGAUGGCAACAGACGCAUUCUGAAAUUCGGUUUAUGUUAUACGCCCUGGGUAGAAUGAAGUUCUCUCUGCUGCUUCCUUCCCACAGUUUAAAUGAAUCCCCGGUUGGCGCGAUCACACUACUGUUCCAAGCGUUUAUUGUCAAAAUACUUAGC